rnacentral:misc_RNA from 1 species
CGCACAUUGCGCCCAUCAGUACUCUGGUGGGCAUGCCUGUUCGAGCGUCAUUUCAACCCUCAGGCCCUGUACUGCCUGGCGUUGGGGCCUUCUGCGAAGCGUUGAAAAACUCUCGCAGGCCCCCAAGAUCAGUGGCGGGCCCGCUGCGGCUCCGAGCGUAGUAGUUUACUUUCUCGCUUGGGAGACUCGGCGGUUCUCAGCCGUUAAACACCACUGUAAUUUUUGCAAGGUUGACCUCGGAUCAGGUAGGAAUACCCGCUGAACUUAA